rnacentral:tRNA from 1 species
GCCUCCUUAGCUUAGUGGCAAAGCAAUGGUUUUGUAAACCAUGUACGCGGGUCCGAUUCCUGCAGGAGGCU